CCUACGGGAGGCAGCAGUGAGGAAUAUUGGUCAAUGGGCGCGAGCCUGAACCAGCCAAGUAGCGUGAAGGAUGACUGCCCUACGGGUUGUAAACUUCUUUUAUAAAGGAAUAAAGUGAGGAACGUGUGCCUUUUUGUAUGUACUUUAUGAAUAAGGAUCGGAUAACUCCGUGCCAGCAGCCGCGGUAAUACGGAGGAUCCGAGCGUUAUCUGGAUUUAUUUGGUUUAAAGGGAGCGUAGGUGGGUUGUUAAGUCAGUUGUGAAAGUUUGGGGCUCAACCGUAGAAUUGCACUUGAUACUGGCAGUCUUGAGUACAGUAGAGGAAGGCGGAAUUCGUGGUGUAGCGGUGAAAUGCAUAGAUAUCACGAAGAACUCCGAUGGCGAAGGCAGCUUACUAAACUGCCACUGACAUUGAUGCUCGAAAGUGUGGGUAUCAAACAGGAUUAGAUACCCGUGUAGUC
rnacentral:rRNA from 1 species